CAAUAGCGUAUAUUAAAGUUGUUGCAGUUAAAAAGCUCGUAGUUGGAUCUGUGGUGUGCGGUGGGCUCCGGGCACUUGUUGUCUGAGUAGCUCGCCGCUGCCAUCCUCGGGUGGAACCUGUGUGGCAUUAGGUUGUCGUGCAGGGGAUGCCCAUCGUUUACUGUGAAAAAAUUAGAGUGUUCAAAGCAGGCUUAUGCCGUUGAAUAUAUUAGCAUGGAAUAAUGAGAUAGGACUUUUUCGCUAUUUUGUUGGUUUGCGCGAAGAGGUAAUGAUUAAUAGGGACAGUUGGGGGUAUUCGUAUUCCAUUGUCAGAGGUGAAAUUCUUGGAUUUUUGGACGACGAACUACUGCGAAAGCAUUUACCAAGGAUGUUUUCAUUAA
rnacentral:rRNA from 1 species